rnacentral:misc_RNA from 1 species
ACACGUAUCCACGUUUAACCCCAAUUCUUAGGAUGCCUAUUUGAGAAAAGGCCUUUGACUCUUCGUAGUGAAAGGCUCUGCUCUACACUUGAUCGCAGCACGGUUAAAGUGUAGGGCUAUUAAGCAGGCGUCCUAAGCUUUGAUCCCUUUUCAGGAACAAAUCUUCGGAGGCGAUCCUGAUUAGGGAAUUCAAAACCCCUUUUUUUUUCUAACUAGAAGCCGUCUCUUUGCAGACCGCUUUUAACCGAAUACUGUA